UACGAAGGGGGCUAGCGUUGUUCGGAAUUACUGGGCGUAAAGCGCACGCAGGCGGCUCGGUACAUUAGAAGUGAAAGCCCCGGGCUUAACCUGGGAAUUGCUUUUAAGACUGUCGAGCUAGAAUCCAGAAGAGGGUAGUGGAAUUCCGAGUGUAGAGGUGAAAUUCGUAGAUAUUCGGAAGAACACCAGUGGCGAAGGCGACUACCUGGUCUGGCAUUGACGCUCAUGUGCGAAAGCGUGGGGAGCAAACAGG
rnacentral:rRNA from 1 species